rnacentral:rRNA from 1 species
UGGGGAAUAUUGCACAAUGGGCGCAAGCCUGAUGCAGCGACGCCGCGUGAGGGAUGGAGGCCUUCGGGUUGUAAACCUCUUUCGCCAGUGAAGCAGGCCAUCUUCUUUGUGGGGUGGUUGACGGUAGCUGGAUAAGAAGCGCCGGCUAACUACGUGCCAGCAGCCGCGGUAAUACGUAGGGCGCGAGCGUUGUCCGGAAUUAUUGGGCGUAAAGAGCUCGUAGGCGGCUGGUCGCGUCUGUCGUGAAAUCCCCUGGCUUAACUGGGGGCUUGCGGUGGGUACAGGCCGGCUUGAGUGCGGUAGGGGAGGCUGGAAUUCCUGGUGUAGCGGUGGAAUGCGCAGAUAUCAGGAGGAACACCGGUGGCGAAGGCGGGUCUCUGGGCCGUUACUGACGCUGAGGAGCGAAAGCGUGGGGAGCGAACAGG